rnacentral:SRP_RNA from 2 species
GCUGGGCGUGGUGGCACGUGCCUGUAAUCCCAGCUACUUGGGAGGCUGAGGCAGGAGAAUUGCUUGAACCCGGGAGGCAGAGGUUGCAGUGAGCCGAGAUGAAGCCACUGCACUCCAGCCUGGGUGACAGAGCAAGACUCUGUCUCGG